rnacentral:rRNA from 1 species
CCGCUGGUAUUUUGACUGUGCAAAGGUAGCAUAAUAAUUAGUUUUUUAAUUGAAAGCUUGUAUGAAUGGUCGGACAAAAGAAAAUCUGUCUUCUAUUAUAAUGAUAGAAAUUAACUUUUAAGUGAAAAGGCUUAAAUUGUUCAGAGGGACGAUAAGACCCUAUAAAGCUUUAUAUAUUAUCUGAAUUUGAGUAAAUUGAUUUAUAAAAUUUUAAUUUGGAAUAAUUUAUUUUGCUGGGGCGGCAUAGGUAUAAGUUAUAUUAACUGCUUAAUAAAAAUACAAUUAUAGUUGAGUUAUUAAUUAAAAGAUCCUUUUUAAAGAUAUUGAGAAUAAGUUACUUUAGGGAUAACAGCGUUAUUUCUUUUGAGAGUUCUUAUCGAAAAAGAAGUUUGCGACCUCGAUGUUGAAUUAAAUUGUCUGAUAUGGUGCAGUAGCUAUAUAAGAAGGUCUGUUCGACCUUUAAAUU